ensembl:antisense Gm15410 predicted gene 15410
CAAGGCGGGGUGCUGACAUCAUCGCCAAGGUCAGGACGCCACCCAGGUUCAGGCCGCCAGGGCUCGCUCAAAGGGCUUACCCACCACACACACUGCAGCCUAUUCACAGGAACGCGGGAAGCCAGAGAAGCAGCAGCCGAACUGUAAUUAGAGGCCAGAGGAGGAGACGCAGAGGCCAUCUCAGGAUUUAUGCCUGAGUGGUGGUGAUGUGGAGAGAGUCCUCUGUCCUGAUGCAAGAUGGGAUCAAAUGUCAUAAUUCAAUGUGCCUUGAGCAUCUCGAAAGGGGACAGAGAAGAGGGCUGUCUCUUUGUGGUGGUGCCCAUCUUUAAGGAGAGCUCCCUAAAAGCCAAAGACUCCUAUUGUGGGACUUCUUCAUGCCUGCAGGGAGAAGUCAGUCUCCUCAGGACUAGGGGCAGGUUAGACAGGAGGUGCUUCUGUGUGGAUCAUGAGUGUCCCUCAAAAGUAUAGUGAUUAAAAACUUGGUCUCAAGUCUGUGGCACUAUUGGGAACUGGUGGGAUGCUUAGGAGAGGAGACAGGGAAGAG